GGCCUGAUGGUGUAAAUGGUUAACACGCCUGCUACUGGUUUUGUAUGCAGAAAGACAUUGUGCAGGAGCUCCCGGUUCGAUUCCGGCUCAGGUCA